UUAACUUGAUAGAACUUGCAU
rnacentral:piRNA from 1 species